rnacentral:lncRNA from 1 species
UCUUUUGGCGUGGCAGAAUGGAUAUCGAUAAACAGGUACUGCUGCUACUGUUGCCUAUAUUCUUACUAGGCUUCAAAAACGUGGCUGCGAGUAUAGGUCAUGGUCCAGGCCUUCUUCCAGCUCCUCUUGUUGUCGGCUGGACCAAGUACGUCCCUCAGGCGGUGCCACCUCAUGCCUGGACCUCCACGUACCUGAACACUGGCAUCCGGGUCCUCCCUGCGCCUCCUUACUAUGCCCCAGCUUAUCCCCAUCCUGUCCCCGUACCCUAUCCAGCCCAACCCCUCAUCCCUGCUACUCCUGUCCCCACCCUAAACGCCGCAACCCCUCUAGUGCCUACUCCUACCUUCAAUUCUGCCCCUCCUCCACCACUCACUCCUGCUUUCAACCCCACAACACCACUCUUUCCCACCCCUACCUUUAACUCUGUCCCACUUCCUACCCCAACUUUCAAUUCUCCAAGACCCCUCAUACCUACCCCAGCUUUCAACUCUCCAAGACCCUUCCUACCUACCCCAGCUUUUAGCUACGCUCCAUCCUUCCCCACCCCUGUUUUCAACUCUCUUCCACACUUCACCCCCACUCCGAUCUCACCCCCACCAACAUUCAGAGGAAACCCGGUUUUCAAGUCACCAUAUCCGGUUCCCUUCCCCCGACCGGUAGAACCAGGACCAAGCUCUGACCCCGGGGUGCCCGUGUCACAAUCUUCGGGUAAUUUGUUCGCCUCUCCCGGAUUUCAAGGGAAUUUCGCUUCGCCAUACGUGAGCCACCCCAGUGUUGGGGGCCCUCCUCGACCUUACCCUAUUCGGGCCCCCCUCCGUCAUAUAGCGUGACUGAGCUUGAUCCUGAAGAUACGUAUGGGCCCCCUCCUAACCCUUACGUCAGCAAGUACCGCUCUGCACCCUCUGAAAAGUACGGACCACCAUCACGUGCGGAACCGUUUCGAGAGCACCCUAAUCAUCCGUCGGUGUCCCAUGUUGUGAGAAUCGUUGCCAGACCAUCGAGGUAUUCGGAGUUUUUCCGAUGAGCUGUUACUUCCGAUUAGGCUGGGAGCCUUGCAGAGUUAAAGACUUGACUUGAGAAAUUGUAUAAAAAGAGAAAAAAACCUUGUGCAUAUCUUGUAUAGUUACAGUUCCUAUUACUCUAUUAGAGAAAUGUAAUUGAUGUAUUUUUUUAAUAAACUUUUGAUGUUUUGUUUCAUAU